UACGUAGGGUGCGAGCGUUGUCCGGAAUUAUUGGGCGUAAAGGGCUCGUAGGCGGUUUGUCGCGUCGGGAGUGAAAACCUUGGGCUUAACUCAGGGCUUGCUUUCGAUACGGGCAGACUAGAGGUAUGCAGGGGAGAACGGAAUUCCUGGUGUAGCGGUGAAAUGCGCAGAUAUCAGGAGGAACACCGGUGGCGAAGGCGGUUCUCUGGGCCUUACCUGACGCUGAGGAGCGAAAGCGUGGGGAGCAAACAGG
rnacentral:rRNA from 1 species